CCUACGGGUGGCAGCAGUAGGGAAUUUUGCGCAAUGGGCGAAAGCCUGACGCAGCAACGCCGCGUGAUCGAGACGCCCUUCGGGGUGUAAAGAUCCGUCAGUGGGGGCGAAACUUGACGGUACCCACAGAGGAAGAACCGGCUAAUUCCGUGCCAGCAGCCGCGGUAAUACGAGGGGUGCAAGCGUUGUCCGGAUUCAUUGGGGGUAAAGAGGUCGAGGGCGGCAAGUAAGGUCUGAUGGUAAAAGCUGAGGCUCAACUUCUGUACGGCACUGGAUACUUGCAGGCUUGAAUGCGGUAGAGGUAAGUGGAAUUCCUGGUGUAGCGGUGGAAUGCUUAGAUAUCAGGAGGAACAUCAGUGGCGUAGGCGCUUUUCUGGGCCGUAAUUGACGCUGAGGAACGAAAGCCAGGGUAGCAAAUGGGAUUAGAUACCCUUGUAGUC
rnacentral:rRNA from 1 species